UGGUGAUGGUUCAACGAUAGUCGUUUCUCAGCGAUGUCGCUAUGUUCAGUAUAACCCUCCAUGUUCGGGACCAAAAGCGUAGUAUUAUCAUAUACAACAAUAUUUGUGUCUAUUUCUGAUAGUACAAAUUCUAUCAGAAAUUUUGAUCAUAACUACUGGGGAUGGCUAGAACCGAGGCUAGAACUAGUUCCUUGGACUAGAAUGGCUUCGGACAAAAUGAUGUAUAGUAGCGCUCGAAGCUGUGCCGCUCAAGAUCCAGCCAUAUAUAGACCAUGGUCCAGCUGUUUCCAGUAAAUGGCGUGAGUUAUCUAUAUCUGUGGUCUCAGACUGGCGGCCCGCCAAGCAAUUUUGUUCGACCCGCCAAGAUGUUUUAGCUAUUUAUGAUACAUAUUACAGUCGGAAAAUUAUUAUAAUUUAACGUUAAUAAAAUAAGAAAGUUUUAAAGCGUACUGUACUCAAUCUGCGCUGUACUAUCAAUAACUACUCUCAUUUUCC
rnacentral:lncRNA from 1 species